rnacentral:rRNA from 1 species
AGUGAGGAAUAUUGGUCAAUGGACGGAAGUCUGAACCAGCCAAGUAGCGUGCAGGAUGACGGCCCUAUGGGUUGUAAACUGCUUUUGUAUGGGGAUAAAGUUAGGGACGUGUCCCUAUUUGCAGGUACCAUACGAAUAAGGACCGGCUAAUUCCGUGCCAGCAGCCGCGGUAAUACGGAAGGUCCAGGCGUUAUCCGGAUUUAUUGGGUUUAAAGGGAGCGUAGGCUGGAGAUUAAGUGUGUUGUGAAAUGUAGACGCUCAACGUCUGACUUGCAGCGCAUACUGGUUUCCUUGAGUACGCACAACGUUGGCGGAAUUCGUCGUGUAGCGGUGAAAUGCUUAGAUAUGACGAAGAACUCCGAUUGCGAAGGCAGCUGACGGGAGCGCAACUGACGCUGAAGCUCGAAGGUGCGGGUAUCAAACAGGAUUA